ACAUUUUUAACCGAGUCUGCCUCA
rnacentral:piRNA from 1 species